rnacentral:rRNA from 1 species
UCUGGCUCAGUCUUAACAUGCAGUCGACGGCAGCACGGGAGCAAUCCUGGUGGCGAGUGGCGAUGGCGAGUAAUACAUCGGAACGUGCCCAGUAGUGGGGGAAGCCCGGCGAAAGCCGGAUUAAUACCGCAUACGACCUACGGGUGAAAGCGGGGGACCGAAAGGCCUCGCGCUAUUGGAGCGGCCGAUGUCAGAUUAGGUUGUUGGUGGGGUAAAAGCCUACCAAGCCGACGAUCUGUAGCUGGUCUGAGAGGACGGCCAGCCACACUGGGACUGAGACACGGCCCAGACUCCUACGGGAGGCAGCAGUGGGGAAUUUUGGACAAUGGGCGCAAGCCUGAUCCAGCCAUGCCGCGUGCGGGAAGAAGGCCUUCGGGUUGUAAACCGCUUUUGUCAGGGAAGAAACGCGCUGAGCUAAUA